AGCGAAUUGAGACGGCGCAAAUGGAGCAUUUUGGGGCGAGCGGGGAGGGAGCGCUGCCGCAGGGGCUCCAGGUAAGCCAGCUCAGUGAUUCACCCUGCUAUGAGAACUUUCCACGCUGCAAGAACCAGGUGGUGACUGGACCAAAAAUGGUGUUUCCCUCCAAAGAUGGCUCUGGCUGGUGAAUAUUCCUUUCUUCAGCUGGCCAAGUUGGUAGGUGGCUGUGCUAAUUAUCUGGCAUGCCACACAAGUCUUAAGAGGUCUUUUGUUUUAUUUUGGGUAAUAAUGAAACAUUCUCUUUGAUUAAUGUGUAUUAUGAGUUAAUUAAUGUUCAUUCAUUGUUGUAUUUUAAUAAAAGUGUGUAAAACAUCAA